AUUGAACGCCGGCGGAAUGCUUUACACAUGCAAGUCGAACGGCAGCACGGACUUCGGUCUGGUGGCGAGUGGCGAACGGGUGAGUAAUGUAUCGGAACGUGCCCAGUCGUGGGGGAUAACGUAGUGAAAAUUACGCUAAUACCGCAUACGAUCUAUGGAUGAAAGCGGGGGAUCGCAAGACCUCGCGCGAUUGGAGCGGCCGAUAUCAGAUUAGGUAGUUGGUGGGGUAAAGGCCCACCAAGCCAACGAUCUGUAGCUGGUAUGAGAGGACGACCAGCAACACUGGAACUGAGACACGGUCCAGACUCCUACGGGAGGCAGCAGUGGGGAAUUUUGGACAAUGGGCGAAAGCCUGAUCCAGCCAUUCCGCGUGCAGGAUGAAGGCCCUCGGGUUGUAAACUGCUUUUGUACAGAACGAAAAGGUUUCUACUAAUACUAGGAGCUCAUGACGGUACUGUAAGAAUAAGCACCGGCUAACUACGUGCCAGCCGCCGCCGUAA
rnacentral:rRNA from 1 species